rnacentral:rRNA from 1 species
GGUCCAGACUUUGAUCCUGGCUCAGGAUGAACGCUAGCGGCAGGCUUAACACAUGCAAGUCGAGGGGCAGCGCGGGGCGGCAACGUCCUGGCGGCGACCGGCGGAAGGGUGCGUAACGCGUGAGCGACAUGCCCGUUGCCCGGGGACAACCGGUGGAAACGCCGACUAAUCCCCGAUGGGACGGAGGCCCUCAUGGGUCUCUGUUGAAAGUUACGGCGGCGACGGAUUGGCUCGCGUCCGAUUAGCUUGUUGGCGGGGUAACGGCCCACCAAGGCUACGAUCGGUAGGGGUUCUGAGAGGAAGGUCCCCCACAAUGGAACUGAGACACGGUCCAUACUCCUACGGGAGGCAGCAGUGAGGAAUAUUGGUCAAUGGGCGGAAGCCUGAACCAGCCAUGCCGCGUGCGGGAAGGAGGCCCUAUGGGCUGUGAACCGCUUUUGCCUGGGGGCAAUAAGGGCGUCGUGCACGUCCGAUGAGAGUACCAGGCGAAUAAGCAUCGGCUAACUCCGUGCCAGCAGCCGCGGUAAUACGGGGGAUGCGAGCGUUAUCCGGAUUCAUUGGGUUUAAAGGGUGCGUAGGCUGUGCGUCAAGUCAGGGGUGAAAUUCCGGGGCUCAACUCCGGGGCUGCCCUUGAUACUGUCGCGCUGGAGUGCGGAUGCCGCCGGAGGAAUGAGUGGUGUAGCGGUGAAAUGCUUAGAUAUCACUCAGAACACCGAUUGCGAAGGCAUCUGGCGAAUCCGUAACUGACGCUGAGGCACGAAAGCGUGGGGAUAGAACAGGAUUAGAUACCCUGGUAUUCCACGCCGUAAACGAUGAUGGCUAACCGCCGGCGACACACUGUCGGUGGCCAAGCGAAAGCGAUAAGCCAUCCACCUGGGGAGUACGUCGGCAACGAUGCAACUCAAAGGAAUUGACGG